ACGAACUUCUGCGAUCGCGGUAGUUUUUUCCCGCGAAAACUUGUUGAAUCAUUUUCACACAAUGUUUCUCCACUCUUCCAAUCCCAAAGUCUCGAAUCGUCUGUGAAAAAAGAAGAACAGAUCUUCACUGCGCUCUGUUUAUUUAAGUUCGAAGCUAUGGCUCGAGGGGGGUGUUUGAUGAGGUUGCCUUGCAUGAAAUGGAUUUGGGGGGCGGAGGCUUGGAAGUAGUUAUUGGGAGAUUUCGAUGGCGUUGAUGUGUGCGGUCGUGUCACAGUUCCCGAUUACGAUGGAUCAUCUGCAAAAGAUUGGAGCAAUGCUUGCCGGCUAUGUGAAUAAGAUAAUGAAAAGAAGCUUAAUGACGUAUAGGCUAGGGAUCAGGACAUGAAAAAGUUGGGAAUUUCUGUCUUUUAUUCUCUGGUACCACCUCCACCUAACCAUUUGCUAAACAGGUAUCUCCUUAUACAUGAACUGCAGAUAAAGAUCUUGAGAUGAAAGUUUGACAGGUUCAACAGUCGACAAAGUUGAAGACUUGAAUUCAGGAAACGUUUAAUGGAAGAGUAGAAGAAAUAAUGCACUGCUUGCUUUUAUAGAUGUUUCUAAAUACUCAGACGUCCUUGGACACAAGUUAUAGCGCUUCAAGAUUGCAAGGUGAGCUGCUAUCCUUCUGAGCCAGAAACCCGUAAAAGACGAAUGUCACAGAGUUUCUUCAAAUUCAUCUGUUAGAAAAUAGCUUCUGCUUACCCGAGAGCUGGGAUUGUCUGCAAAAGUAAAUUGGUUCUUCAGGUGCAACAGCUUCAAAUUUGCAAAACCCAUCAUCAAAAUUUAGAGCAUAGCUGCAAGGAUCAUAUUGAAAAUUGAACCUUCUUUUUCCUCCGUUCUUGAUGGCUUUCUUCAUCGCUGCUCUCAUCCUCCAGAACAGUUUCCUGAAUUGCUUCCUACUGGUGCGAUAUUUUCUUGGUAUUUGAGGAAGAUUAUAAAGGAUUCACAGACACAGAGACAAACAUCAAGAGUUGCAAUGAGGUUUAUGCAGGAGUGUCAGAACUAAAACAACAAAAGAAGAUUCACCUUUUUGUAUACAGGAGUAACGAGUUAUAAGAGAAAGGGUAAAGCGUAAUCUUUUGGCCUUCCAAUGAAGCUUCGCAGUUUCUGCUGAGCCUCUACGAUGAUCGGCCUUUUCUCCUUGGAGUCAUGUUGGAAUGCUCAAAUUCCAUCAACUACAGCGAUAAAGACAGAGAAGGAGAAGGGGAGAGAAAAAGGGAGGGAGAACUAAUAGCUGUUGCAGUGGGCAGAGAGCCUACAAAAGACAUAUCAGUAUCGAAUAUUGUUGCGGCAAAAGUAACGAAGGAAGCUGACUAUGUUCAACGGUAUGUCCUCGGUCUUUACCUCUUUCACGGGCAUAAACAUAUUUAAUGUUCCACUAAGCGUUUUAAUAAUUCUUUUCGGUUCCUAAAGAUUCAUUCUUUUGAAAAGCAAGGAAUAAACUUCCUUUUGAACAUUCUUGCUGGAAAGGAUUAUAACGAUUCAAACCU